GGGGACGAAUGGAUUCCGGUGGAUUCUGCGGACUUCAAAUCCGUUAUCGGGCGGAUGAUCCGGCCGAGGUAGGUUCGACUCCUACACGUUCCC
rnacentral:tRNA from 1 species